GACGAACGCUGGCGGCGUGCUUAACACAUGCAAGUCGAACGGAAAGGCUCCAGCUUGCUGGAGUACUCGAGUGGCGAACGGGUGAGUAACACGUGGGUAAUCUGCCCUGCACUCUGGGAUAAGCCUGGGAAACUGGGUCUAAUACUGGAUAUGACCUUUCUCCUUAUGGGGUUUGGUGGAAAGUUUUUCGGUGUAGGAUGAGCCCGCGGCCUAUCAGCUUGUUGGUGGGGUGAUGGCCUACCAAGGCGACGACGGGUAGCCGGCCUGAGAGGGUGAUCGGCCACAGUGGGACUGAGGUACCGCCCAGGCUCCUUCGGGCGGCAGCAGUGGGGGAUAUUGCACAAUGGGCGGAAGCCUGAUGCAGCGACGCCGCGUUGGGGAUGACGGCCUUCGGGUUGUAAACCUCUUUCAGCAGGGACGAAGCGUAAGUGACGGUACCUGCAGAAGAAGCACCGGCUAACUAUGUG
rnacentral:rRNA from 1 species